rnacentral:tRNA from 1 species
GGAUCCAGUGUGGUGUAGUGGUUAAGAGUGAUGGACUCGUAAUCUGGUGAACCGGGUUCAAUUCCCCGCUCCUCCA